UACAGAGGGUGCGAGCGUUAAUCGGAAUUACUGGGCGUAAAGCGUGCGUAGGCGGUCGUGUAAGUCGGGUGUGAAAGCCCCGGGCUCAACCUGGGAAUUGCAUUCGAGACUGCACGGCUGGAGUGCGGAAGAGGGAAGCGGAAUUUCCGGUGUAGCGGUGAAAUGCGUAGAUAUCGGAAGGAACAUCAGUGGCGAAAGCGGCUUCCUGGUCCAGCACUGACGCUCAGGCACGAAAGCGUGUGGAGCAAACAGG
rnacentral:rRNA from 1 species